rnacentral:lncRNA from 1 species
CAAGACCAAAGGCAAAAUAAACUGGCCAUAUAAACACCUGAAGAGAGGACGAUGUCAGGUCGACAGAUUGUGGAAUUUAGAUUCAGCACCUAAGCUAUUUGAGGUUGACACUCACUGAAAUCUUGAGUGUUUGCACCUGCUGUGGAAUAAGUCAUUGUCCUUGGACACCUUACAAGGUGGAGUUUGUGCACAUUUGGGAAGAAGGAGGCGGCUGGCAGAGUGACUUCCUUAUCGACCCACUCACCAGCAUCUCCAUCUCCCUCAGGGGGUGCUGUCCACCCACCGUGUUUUGUUUACAUCAGUAGCAAAGACAUAUGAAUCAUCUUCCACUUUUUAGCUAUGAAUGAAGAAGUAACCUCUGACACCCACUAGUGCGACUGGCCCUUACAUGCUGGUAUAUGUCAGACUCUUAGCAUCACUCUCAUUUCAUACUGCUGUUGAUGAUGUGAAUUUUGGAAAUAUUCUCCCCUAUUGGGUCUUUCUCCAUGACAGAUGAUGUCCUUUGGCUUCGGUUUUUUGCCUAAGAACUGUAAGUGGUGCUUGCUAGCCCUACUAAGAAUCCUGCCAUUGUUGCAAAUUUCAGAAAAAAGGCUGGAGUGCAGUGGUGCACACGCCUCACACUGUGACACAGCGGGAGAGCCCAGAGCGACAGCUGUUGGAAUGACUGCACUCUUCCUGCUCAAGUCUGACCUUUCCAAGGUAAUGGUGCUCAGAAAAAGAAGCCAAUCAGGAGAUCUGUUUUCUGUGCCCUUUUAACACUUCUAACUCAGGCACCCAAACCAGCCUGUAGCAGAAAGAGCAUCAAAGCCAUCCUCUGGACUCUACACAAGCCUUUGUCCUAUGUCUGGAGACUUCUUGGAAGCUGGAGCACACAAAUAGCUACAGCAAACUUGAGGAAUGGGCAUGAAUAGACUGGCUUCGGGGAACCUGCCAGCUUGGCCGUGUGGCCAAGGUAAUAGGCAAGCCAAGGCAGAGCUAGAGCUCAGAGCUGGAGGGGAAAUUAAAGCAGCAAAUGUAGAAACAUUAAGCCUGAAGAGGCGACGACGUUGAAUUCUAAAAUGCAGGCCAAAGCUCAGACUGCAAGCUGUCUGGCUGCUCCGGGUGUGCCCAGAAGUCAAAGUCCAGCAGGGGCAAAGGUGGAGGUGUGGUCCUGCACGUGGGGUGUUGGGGGGAUGUGGAAGAGGAGGUGCUUUAAGAUCCAGAGAUUCCAGCUGCCCUGGUGCACCCUUGGAAGAAUAAAAGGCUAGGAACUGGACAAGUCAGGCUCGAGUCCAAGCUGCCUGAGGAAUCGGGGAAAGAAUGGAGCUCAGAGUGGGAGGUCAGGGCAGUAUUUAAAAAUCCAGGAUAGCAGCAAAGCUGGCGGUGGCCCCUGACUCUGGUAAGGGCAGCCUGCAGCACCAUGCCAAGGGGGGCCUGACUGAUCAUGCCCUGCAUUUGCAAACAAGGAUUAGUAGGGUAUGAGUAGGAUUCUGCUGGUGCCUGGGAAGGCAGUGCCAUCUACAACUUUACAAAGUUUUAACAAAGGCCUGAAGGACACAACCUUCCCCAAAGUCCUGACGUCGCUGUUUGCUGGCAACAAAUAGAGUCAAAAGAAGAGAGGCACAGAAUGUGCCAGGGGUGUGCUGCGUACAGCCCCGAUGACCACAAGGCCUUCUUGGGUCAAGUUCUGCCAUCUCUGGUUAAGAUGGGCUCACCCUCUAGGACCCUGAUUGAGUCCUCGGACCACCAAGAGUGCCCCACCAAGAGCCUCCCUCUUCUGGUGACUCGUGCCUGCUUCCCGUGGAGAGCUCCAGAAGGGAGGAAACUGUGAGGAGGUGGAGAACGUGGCAGGGAUCCUAACUUUCUUACUGAAGGAAGUUCUUCACAAGUACCCAUCUGCCUUCAGGGAAGAAAACAUAACUCAUUUUGGUCUUUCAAAUUCAGUUCUCAAAACCAAAUCCUGUUGUCAGCAAUCUGUGUCCCAACGCCUUCUUCAGCAACAGCAUUUUCCCUGUGGAAUUAGUUUCCAAUGUUCUUUCUUAAAUAAACCACUGAAGAUUAAAAGGAAUCCAGAUACCCACCACAUUUUGUUUCCUUAAUGAGUAAUUAUCACAUUUCUUUGGCUACUUAAAUGCAUUCUCUGAGUCAGGUAAAGGAGAUCGUAAUAGUUAAUCAACAAGAAGUAAUUCUUGGGUACUUAACAAUAGUCUAAGCACUUAAUCAUACUUAAAAUUGACUAUUAAUGAACCUUAUAAACCAUUUUGCAAUUCUGAAAGUGAAUUUCUCUGCAGGCUUAGAGAUUACUAAGCCAUUUAGAUCUUACCAAACAAAUAUUAUUCAUGCUUUAAUUCCUGGGAAAAGAAAUUUAGAAAAUGAGGUUAAUGUUCAGUUGUCCUUUCCUGAGUUUAACAAUUAUAUAUUCCAUCUGGGAUGCUCUGAACUCAGGUUAAACAUUCUUCAAGUUAUUCCCACAUUUUUCAAGUUAUUCCCACGUUAGUGACCUACUUUAUUAGUAUUAUUACUAAAGAAAAGGGCUGGGUGCGGUGGCCCACAUCUGUAAUCCCAGCACUUUGGGAGGCUGAAGCAGGAGGAUCACUUGAGCUUGGGAGUUCAAGACCAGCCUGAGAGGGAGACUCCGUCUCUACAAAAAAAAAAAAAUUAGCCAGGUAUGGUGGCACGCGCUCAUGGGCCCAGCUACUCAAGGAGGCUGAGGUGGGAGGAUCACGUGAACCUGGGAGGCAGAGCCUGCAGUGAGCCCUGGUUGUGCCUCUGUACUCAAGCCUGAGAGACAGAGUGAGACCCUGUCUCCAAACAAUAAAGUAAAAUAAAUAAAUAAAUAAAUAAGAAUGCAAAUCAAAGACAUUAAGAAAUAGCUUUACUUUAAUGUAGGCAUUUAAGGUAAAAUAGGUCACAUUCUCUUUUUUAAAAAAAUUACUGACCCACAGAAAAACAAGUCAAAAAGCAGACUAUUUCAUAUUAGUGUCUUUUUUUUAAAGAGGAUUAAUAUAAAUUGCCUUCUCACCUGUUUUUAAAAUAAAGGACUGAAUGAUAGAACUUAGACAACAAAUCUAGUAGCAUGAUAAAAGCCUUUCUUUGAUAGCUAGAAAAGGUAAACAAAGAAUAAAACAGGGUGAAGAAGAAAGAGGACAGAUAGAAUGUGAAUAUUAUCUACCUUUUUCUCAAGAUAAAACUAAUAUUGCUUUCUAAAAAGAAGCAAUUCUUUAGAGCAGAGGUCAGCAAACUUUUUCUAUAAAGAGCCAGAUAUUAACUAUUUUAUAAUUUGCAAACCACAUAAGUCCUCUGUUUCAUAUGGGUUUUUUUCUUUUUUCUUUUUAAACAAUACUUUAAAAAUGCUGAAAAUAUUCUUAGCUUACAUCUACAAAAAAGCAGGCAGUGGGCUGAUUUGACUCACAGGUGGUAUAGCUUGCUAAUUCCUGCUUUAGAUUUUAAGAAUGAGGCAGAUGUUGCCAGAAUUUGCUCUAAUUUACUAUGAGGUUUGCAAAUAAAAGUGCUCUUGACAUGAAAACUUGCUAUUUUUAAUGGAAAGACAUGUACAGCCCUUUCUCAGGAAGUGGAGAUUAAUGCAUAAAAUUUUAUUUUCCUAACAUAAAGCAUGUUUUUUCAAAAAAUGGCUUCUCCAUCUUGUGGCCCUUUGAUUAUGAUAGCUCUGAAAGCUUUGAAAAGCUUGCAAAUACUCAACUUCAGGAAUAAAACCACCUAUGAGACCCUCACCUGAAGGCAGGAUCUUUCCUGCAGCCUUGAGUCUUCCUAAUCAGAACCAUUGUUUCGUAAACUGGACUCCGAAGACAACACUUAAAGUCACUCAAGUUCGCUACAAAAUUCUUGUUUUGUGUUUUCAUUUCUAAAGACAAUAAAAAUAAUUGAUAUGAUCAAGUUUGGGAUUAUCUAGAUGAUCUAGACAACUAUUGCGGUCAAAAUAGGCCUGAUCACAGGCAUUUUCAGUACCCAUGGAAUUCUAGAGCUUUGGAUACUUGUCUAGUCUGUUUGGGUCACUAUAACAAAAUGCCAUAAACUGGGUGCUUAUAAAGAACAGAAUUUUAUUUCCCACAGUUCUGCAGGCUGGGAAGUCCAAAAUCGAGGCAGAUUUGAUGUCCUCAAGUGAUGGAAGAAUCAAGAGGUCUCUCUGGGGGCUCUUUUAUAAGGGCACUAACCCCAUUCAUGAGAGCAGAGCCUAAUUACCUCCCUAAGGCCCCAACUCCUAAUACUAUCACCUUGAGGGUGAGGAGGGAAACAUAAAAAUACCAUAGUAAUACUAAUAGGUACAUCAGUGAAGAACAAUAUCACAGUAUCGUGUAGACAGGAAGAUUUUGCUGCAAUUUGGUUGUUAAAACAAAAAGUCGUGGGUGGAUACAAUCAUCAGACAGUUCAGAAGUGGCAUCCACGUACUCACCCAAAGGAGGUGCACUGCAGUUGUGGGAGCCCUGUGCUUGCUACUAGCAGUGACUUAAUUUCUGCAAAGCUAUGUGAUCACAUUCAACUAUGCUAGUUAACUUUAAUUUUACUGAAUUUGGUUUAGGUAGGUAGUUUGUAAAUUUAACUUUCUACUUGUAUAAGAAGUAUAAUUAUAAAAACAGCAGGUCAGCACGACAGGUCUGAGAGAAUCUGUAUUCUGUAAAAAAAUACCUAUUUCUUACUUGGCGAAAAACAUUAGUCAAUGUUGCACCAAAAACCCCCCAAAAGCUAUAGAUCAGAUAUUGACUAAAAUGAAUAUACAAAAAUCUUGACUGGAAAUAUUUUAAGUCAAAACUAACAGCCUAUUUCAGGUAUUGACAGAACAAAUUCCAGAAGCAGAAUAACUGAAACAAUCAUGUUGAAAUUAAUUAUAAUGGGCAGAAUUUGACUGAAACUUGUUACCACCUUCACCAAAAUAUAGCCUUUCUUAUACUAUCAAAUGUAUUGAAUAAAUUGUGAGCACUUUCUUGUACAACUUCUAAAAAUUUAGCUUUGCUUUUGUUAUCUGAAUAUUGUACAGGAAUAUGAGCAUGCAAAUAAGAUCUUUGUUUAGUUUCAAGUCUUUUUAUAACUAAAUCUGCUGGCAUUAGACAAUAAAUACAUUUUCAAAAUAUGAAUAGUCUCUCAUUUGAUUCAAAUUAGAUGAGUUGUUUUGCAUGUUUCUUAUCAAUUAUGCAAUUAUUGUCUUAGUUUAAAUAUAAUCUAAUAGCUGACGCUGCAUUCAUAUGCUAUGCUGGAUUCCUAGCUAAAAUGAAAUCAGUAUGCUAGUAAAAUAUUUUUCAUACAUGUUAUUUGGAACUUUGCUUCUCAAUUCUAUAACAAGAAUUCCCUUUGGUAUCUGUAUUUUUUUUCCCUUGUGUGUUAAUAUGCAUAUAAUCUUUCUUUGUUUACCUACCUUUUUAAGGUAGGUUAAAGGGAUAAAAGCAGUAACUCAUAUGUUUUGGUCUCAGGCCACCUUUACACUUUUAAGAAUUGUUGUCUGGGUGCGGUGGCUCACGCCUGUAAUCCCAGCACUUUGGGAGGCCAAGGUGGAUGGAUCACCUGAGGUCAGGUGUUCGAGACCAGCCUGGCCAACAUGGCAAAACCCUGUCUCUACUAAAAACACAAAAAAAUUAGCCAGGCAUGGUGGCACGUGCCUGUAGUCCCAGCUACUUGGGAGGCUGAGGCAGGAGAAUCACUUGAAUCUGGGAGGCGGAGGUUGCAGUGAGCGGAGCUUGCGCCAUUGCACUCCAGCCUCGGCAACAAGAGCGAUACUCUAACUCAAAAAAAAAAAAAAAGAAUUGUUGAGAAACUCAAAGAGGUUUCGCUUACAUGGAUUAGGUCUAUUGCUAUUUACCAUAAUAUAAAUUAAAACUGAAAAGUUUACAAAUAUUUUAAUGCAUUUAAAAUAAUAAUAAAACUCAUUACAUGUCAACAUAAAUAACACAUUUUCUGAAAAGUAAUUAUAUUUUCCAAAGCAAAAAUAGAAAUAUGCUUUUAUUUUACAUUUUUGCAGAUCUCUUUUAUACCUGGCUUAAAAGAAGAUAGCCAGAUUUUAAUUUCUCUUUCUGCGCUCAAUUUAUUGUAUUAUUUUGCUUUGGUUUAAGUAUAUGGAGAAAAUCUUGUUUCACACAAAUGUGUAGAUGGAAAAGAAAACAGUAUUUAACAGCAUUUUCAAAUAAUUAAUUAUGGAUGUUCUUCUUUGAUACUAUACUAAAACUCAGCAAGUGAUAGCUUCUUACAGGUUUGUUACAACAUGAUAUCUGAAACUGUAUCAAUAAAAAUUUCAUACUCUGUUACAUCAAAAUUCACUGGUCUAAAAAAAUUCAUUGAUCUAUUUGGUGCUUGAGACAGACAUUUGACUCAUGACUUUUGUAAUAUUAAGUAUUGGUCAUCUGGAAAAUUUGGUUCCAUAAGAUAUGCAGAUCUUGUUAAUGUUGAUCUAUGUCACUAUGCAAUAUCAAAAAUCACAUCUGUUAAUAUCA